AUGUACCCUCUCCUUAGCACAGAGAAUACGGAUAUUGUCUACUUUGCACUUGGGGAAUAUCUGGAGAACCGGCGCAGGUGGAAGUUUAUCCCAAUAUGUGCACACUAUCAACUCGCGGUCAACAUGCAGAGCAACACAGUCCAGGCUUCCAUAUCCCUCGCAGACUGUUUUGGCAGUCCUGACAUCCCAGAUCUUGUUACUUCUAGUUUCAGCCGGUAUGUCCAUGUCGUGGGGACCCAUUUGGACCCCAUUGACUAUGAUGAAGGGGAGGCUCGGAAGGUGAUGAGGGAGAGCCCAUUCAACUGGCAAGGAACUUUGAAGGACAAACCUAUCUUUUAUCCAGCUCGCUACUGCUCGCAACCAUCAUUGCUUCGUCUCACCCAAUCAGCCACUGCAGACACCAUUCCGGAGAUAUCAGGGUGA
rnacentral:rRNA from 1 species